rnacentral:rRNA from 1 species
UACGAAGGGGGGCUAGCGUUGCUCGGAAUCACUGGGCGUAAAGGGUGCGUAGGCGGGUCUUUAAGUCAGGGGUGAAAUCCUGGAGCUCAACUCCAGAACUGCCUUUGAUACUGAAGAUCUUGAGUUCGGGAGAGGUGAGUGGAACUGCGAGUGUAGAGGUGAAAUUCGUAGAUAUUCGCAAGAACACCAGUGGCGAAGGCGGCUCACUGGCCCGAUACUGACGCUGAGGCACGAAAGCGUGGGGAGCAACAGGG